AACUUUAAAACUUAAUUGAAUCAACAUUAAUUAAUUCGUCCAAAUGAGCGUGUGACAUAUACGUUCGUGACAUCUACGGUCCGACAAAGCACAUUAGCAGUAACUAAAGAUAUCAUAAGAACUAUAGGACAUCUUCAGAGUUAUCAUAAAAACUCAUUUGACAAAAUAGGGAAUAACUCAAGGAAUAAUUUACAUAUUAAUACUACUGUCUCGAAACAUUCCUCCUCAUGCUUAAAUUUUAAUAUUACUCUCUUGCGAAAAUUGAAAAUAGUCUGUUUUCCACGCAUGGCUUUCUUUAAAUAAAAUCAAAUUCAUAAUGAUGAUACAUAAACAGUUUUUUCGAUAGGUACAUUUAUACAUUUCAGAAGUGUACAUGCAAUGCAAACGCUGAAAUGGUAUGCUAUACAAUAUCAUGCGCUAUUCCACGAUGUCUGGUAGGUGAACCGGAAACAUUGCCUGGAUAUUGCUGUCCAUCUUGUCCAGACAAAGUGGAUUUACCAACAAUCAGUAACUGUCCGACAUAUGUUUUAAGCGUUAAUGUCGCGAUCGCCAGCGAAUCUGCAAUUCUGAGUAAAAGUAUAACCACAAUAAAAGCGUAUGAUUCCGACGGAAAUAAACUAAAGGUAGAUUUUUCAUAUUAUGGUCUAUGGUGAUGGUGGCACAGCAAAUAUCUUAUUGAAAUGUUUGUUUUCCAAAGAAAUUUUACUAUACGAAUAAGCCUUUCGUAAUAUAUUUGUUCGUAAAUACUUAAUCUAUUUAUAUUCAAAAUAUAUCUCAUUGUAGAUAAUCCUUCCGUUUAAUGUAUUUUUAAUGCAGAAACAAACAAAAAUAAAAAAAGAA